GGCUGGUCCGAAGGUAGUGAGUUAUCUCGAUUGUUCACAGUCAGUACAGAUUGAACUCCUUGUUCUACUCUUUCCCCCCUUCUCACUACUGCACUUGACUAGUCUUAA
ensembl:misc_RNA Y_RNA Y RNA